AGUCUAGGGGAAUAUUUCUUGGGGGCAUGUGAGUGUGGAGUCUCCCCUAGUGGUCUAUGCUGUGAGCCAAACAUUGUGGCAAAAAUGACACUGAGUUAUGUUGGUGGGUGUGAGGUGCUAGAGUGUGCGUGUGUUUGUUAGUGUGUGUGUUGGUGUGACAGAAAACGAGUAAGAGCGAUGAACAAGAGAAAGAGACCAAAAGGGUUAGAUGUGUUGAAGUCCUUUGCACAUCAAAAAGAAAAGCCCUUCAUUGAAACACCAACAGCAACUACACAGGGCUACACAAGAAGUAUAUAAAAAUAUAUAUUUAAAAAAAAAAAGAUGCCAUGACCCGUGGCCAUGAUUAACAUGAGUUAUAACAGUAGUUUGUUUUCAAAGAUAAAAUGAACCCUUUACUGAAACAACCUGUUCUUUAACAGAGCAACUUUGUUGGAGAGUUUGCCUUCAUCAAGCUCCAUGAAGAUUUUUUGCAGUGCCUCAAAGGUGUAUCUAAGGUCAGGUGGGUACCUGAGGUUAAGGGCAUACAUCAGACCCAACAUCAUCGUGACGGCUAACGGUAUGCUAUCAAGAUCGGUCAAUACUUUGAGUCCUUCGAGUACCACCCCAAUGUCCUCCGGUUCACUCGAUCCGUGUUCUCUCAGCACGUAAAUCCCAACGGUUGUGUCGUCAAUUAAUUUACUGACAUCAACUUCAUCCAUGCCCUGAUUAACACAGACAAAUGCACAUAACAGUAAGAACAUUAGACCCCUUAACCAAGCACUAUUGAGAAAUGAAUGAGUGUAGUGUUGAGAAAAGCACCAAUUCAUGUACAUACCACAUAUUCCUGCACAAGGUUUUCAGGAUCUUCCCCCAUGUACAUACAAAGACCCUUCAGGAGACACUCCCGGCCAUCAUCUAUAUCACACUGAAACACACACAAAAAAAUCUUAAUUAGCAUGUUAAUCCAACUUUCAUUUAAGUCCACUACUGCUGGAAACGAUCAUGGAAAAAGAAAGGAAAAGUUAGACAAAUACAAUAUGCAAAGAAAUAUCAAUAUCAACAUGAUUCAAAUCCCCUGUAAGGUUUGCAUGAUUAAGACCCUGUAUCACUCACAUCAGUCAUUUUCUCUAUGAUGGCUUGGAGACUUUUCCCUAUUUGCCCCCCUCUCUUUCGGAACAGCUUUAUCAGGUUGUCAGAGUGAAGGUCUAUCUGAGACAGGAACUUGGAUUGAAGUGGGACAGUCGUAAUUCUUUUGAAUUCCGCGUUGAUCUGAAAUAAGAUAAUUAGCAGGAAGGAAACCAGAUUUGAAAGCUAUACUUCAUCAUCAUCACUAGCAUACCAUCACACAUACCACAGAUCAAAACUACACAUACUGCACCAAACAUCUGGCAUAAUAGCCAUUUAUCAGUGUACACAAGAUUAAUUUUAUCAACGAUAAAUUCAUAAAUAAAUAAUCACACUUACUUCUGUGACUUCAAACAGUGCAGGCCACCUUGCCAUAAAGUCUGCCACCAUUGGUAUGUCGCGCACAACUUCCUGUCUUCGAAGAGCAAAUGUCUUUUCCAUCUGGACUCUCACAGCUUCUCUGUUGUUCUUCCUCUUACUGUCCAGCAGUAGAGCUUUCCGUGUGGCAUCCAGACUCUCCUCAGUUUCAGUUGCUGGAUAUGCUGGACAAAAAUUUACUUCAGCCCUUUUGGCUUUCUUCACACCGAAGGCUGGACUUUGCUUUCCUUCGGGUUUGUUUUUUAAGGCAUUUACAGUCACUUCUGGGCAGCCAAUCUUUUUUAAUUGUGAACGGUAAUUGGAUACUUUAUAUUUAAUACUGGUCUUCCACCCACCAUACCCGGUGUCCGAUCCUCUCUCAGCCAAGCACGGAUGCCUCUUUAUAAGAGACUGGGCUACCUGAUCUGCCUGCUUACCAGUGAUGUAUAUUUUAUAUUUCACAAUUUCCUGCAGAAGACCAUCAAGUACAUCGGACUUCAAUUUUGGAUCAGGACUGAAUAGAGUGCCAUCUUUGAGGUAAGCUACAGCUGCCUGUGUGAGUUUGAGCUCUGCGUCAUAAGAAAACCUCGGUACUUGAAAAACUGCAGGCCAAG
ensembl:lncRNA